rnacentral:lncRNA from 1 species
UCGUUAUUUCUUUAUUCUUUUAUUGGUUUCGUCAAUUACGUUGAUUCAGAUAUAUUCAUUACGUUGAUUCAGAUAUAUUCCAUUCAGAUCUUUGGAUAUUAUAUUUUCGUUCGUAUUUGCACUUGAGGCUUUGUUCAGUAUUUUGUCUCAGUUAUUUUCGUAUAUCAGUUGUAUAUCUUUUGUAUAUCUGUAUCCGUACUGGGCAAUUGGCUCAUGCUGUGUUUUUCUUCCGGCAGGUUUGCAGGGGUGAUUCAGGGCUAGUGUGAUGAGAGAGUUGUCUUUGACCAUCUAGGUUGUUUUGAUUUUUUUUUUGUUUUGAUUAUUUUGAUUCUAGUUGGAGAAUUAUAUUUAGUACUUCAUUGAUGGAUAUCGUUAUUAAUAUUUUGAAGUUAUUAGUGCUCUGUUUAUUUAUUUUGAGGUUUGUUGUGCUUUG